ACAGUUGUGUUCUCUUAGUUACAAGUGAAAUUUAAUACAUAUGUUGGACGAUCGAGCUGCUUUUUAACUUUGAACGUCAACAGGAUAUCACGAGACCUGUUACAGCGGAUAUUUAUCCAAGCGCCGCACAGGGUUAAUUUCUUUUCGACACGCACAGCCUGGCGCACAGAAGCAUCCGGAGUCUCUGUGGACAGGCAUCGAGGCGCUGAAGAGCUCGGAGCACACGAGGCAGCUGACGUCCUCGCUGGAUAGGCCUAAAUAAAUUGGAGAAGUGGAGGCAGCAAUGGUGGUGAACUCUGCUGCCUCCGGAACAGGACAAACUAGGCCUAAGGUGGGGCUGACUCCAUCAGCGGGCCAGGUGAUGGUGGGAGGAGCAGCUGAGGUGGCAACUCCAGCAACUCCGGCAUCAGGAGCGGGCGAGAACAGCCUCUUCUUGGGAGCCCGAGAGGAGGGAGGCUGCUUGGCGGGACGACGCUGCUUCCCAGUUCCCUGCUUUUCCGCCUCUAAAGCAGCCCUCACCGGGGGUGUCCGUAAGUAUAGCAGUUGUCCUGAAAACGUUAAAUUGGACGUUUUGGACUUUUUAAAAAAAAAAAACUAAAAAAAUGGACUUUUUUUAUGAACUUGGACUUAUGGGACUAUUUACUUAUCUAUUAUGAACUCUGUUUAAUCCUCUGUUGCUUCUGAUGAAGUGUUCCUACCUGAAGUGGCACCUGGAGAAGCGCUGACCUCGUCACCCGAAGCCUGGGGAGGAGGACGGUCUGUGGAAUAGGCUCCGGCGAAGUCCUUUUCCUCAAACGCAGAGGGGUUAAAAGGCCAGAUCCCUGGACUUGAGAACCCGGAGGUGGGACGGGUGAUUGUCCAGCAGGAGGAGCAGCUUCGACUCCUUGGACACACGGGUGUGCCUGGUGAAGUGGGCCAGGUACAGGAGGAAGUCUGGCUCCUUCAUCCAGCCAGUUGGGUUGCCGCUGCCUGCACAGCCAACGGGUCCACCCCUCAGGAAGUGGUCUUUGAACCGCUUACGGGGGAAGAUGAAGAAUGGCGGAACAAGGUCGCCCUGCGCAUUGCCUGCCAAGGCAACUGUGACCAGGGUCCCCCUCUCCGCUGAGGUCACUGACCCGACCUGCUUCUGCCCCAUCUGGGCGACGACACGGUCUGGCACCUGGACAGUGGUGACCCCUGUAAAUAGUUGUGUGAGUAUAGUUGUGUAUAUAUAUAUAGUUGUGUGUAUAUAGUUGUGUUUUUUUGUUAAUAAAGUUCAUAUUAAAUACCGGUUUCAUCAAUGUUCCAAAUGUCCUUGGCCUGGAACUGGUGCCGUUCCAGCACCGUCUUUAAAUUUUGGUGGAACAAGUUUACAUUUGUUUGGUUGAAGCUGGACAAUCGCUGUUGGCUAGUGGCCUCUGGACGCCGAAGGGAGAGGCUGCCACUGCGCUCCAUGAAGGAGGUGAACCAGUCCUUCCCCGCCAUGCUCUUCCUCGACCAGGAUGCAGGGAAUGGGCAGCUGAAGUGGACUGCCAGCUCAAAGGCAAAUUUUCUGACCUGAAGGGGUCAUAAAAAGUUGAUGUUUAUGUUUAUGUUAUUU
ensembl:lncRNA